UACGGAGGGUCCAAGCGUUAAUCGGAAUUACUGGGCGUAAAGCGUGCGCAGGCGGUUUGUUAAGCGAGAUGUGAAAGCCCCGGGCUCAACCUGGGAAUUGCAUUUCGAACUGGCAAACUAGAGUCUUGUAGAGGGGGGUAGAAUUCCAGGUGUAGCGGUGAAAUGCGUAGAGAUCUGGAGGAAUACCGGUGGCGAAGGCGGCCCCCUGGACAAAGACUGACGCUCAGGCACGAAAGCGUGGGGAG
rnacentral:rRNA from 1 species